rnacentral:rRNA from 1 species
GAUGAACGCUGGCGGCAUGCCUAAUACAUGCAAGUCGAGCGAACGUACGAUAAGCUUGCUUCUCUGAUGUUAGCCGCGGACGGGUGAGUAACACGUGGAUAACCUACCUAUAAGACUGGGAUAACUUCAGGAAACCUUAGCUAAUACCGGCUAAUAUUUUUAACCACAUCUUUCAAAAGUGAAAGACGGUCUUGCUGUCCCUUAUAGAGGUAGCCGCGCUGCGUUAGCUAGUUGGUAAGGUAACGGCUUACCAAGGCAACGAUGCAGAGCAGAACUGAGAGGGUGAUCGGCCACACUGGAAGGGAGAAAGGGUACAGACGCACACGGGAGGCAGCAGUAGGGAAUCGGGCGCAAGGGGCGAAAGCCAGAGGGAGCAACGCCGAGUGAGUGAUGAAGGUAUUCGGAGUGUAAAACUCUGUUAUUAGGGAAGAAAAUAUGUGUAAGUAACGGAGAACAAAUUGACGGUACCAAAUGAGAAAGCGACGGCUAAAUACGUG